ensembl:ncRNA F43E12.2 ncRNA
GCACCCAAGCCACAAUUGAUAAAUGGUCUUGGCCAUUUUUAGGGCUAAAGUAAAAUAUGGCCAGUAUCUGAGGGGUCUUUUUGUCUUCUCGACUUUCGCUUUGUUGUAUCUGCUAUCGAAUGAAGGAUGGGCUCAACUCAACAGAU